GAUGAACGCUAGCGACAGGCUUAACACAUGCAAGUCGAGGGGCAUCAUGAGGUAGCAAUACCUUGAUGGCGACCGGCGCACGGGUGAGUAACGCGUAUGCAACCUGCCUGAUACCGGGGUAUAGCCCAUGGAAACGUGGAUUAACACCCCAUAGUACUUUUAUCCUGCAUGGGAUGUGAGUUAAAUGUUUAAGGUAUCGGAUGGGCAUGCGUCCUAUUAGUUAGUUGGCGGGGUAACAGCCCACCAAGACGAUGAUAGGUAGGGGUUCUGAGAGGAAGGUCCCCCACAUUGGAACUGAGACACGGUCCAAACUCCUACGGGAGGCAGCAGUGAGGAAUAUUGGUCAAUGGACGAGAGUCUGAACCAGCCAAGUCGCGUGAGGGAAGACUGCCCUAUGGGUUGUAAACCUCUUUUAUAAGGGAAGAAUAAGUUCUACGUGUAGAAUGAUGCCUGUACCUUAUGAAUAAGCAUCGGCUAACUCCGUGCCAGCAGCCG
rnacentral:rRNA from 1 species